rnacentral:rRNA from 1 species
CACGUAGGGACCGAGCGUUGUCCGGAUUUAUUGGGCGUAAAGAGCUCGUAGGCGGUUCAGCAAGUCGGGUGUGAAACUCUGGGCUCAACCCAGAGACGCCACCCGAUACUGCUGUGACUAGAGUCCGGUAGGGGAGUGGGGAAUUCCUGGUGUGAGCGGUGGAAAUGCGCAGAGUAUCAGGAGGAACACCGGUGGCGAAGGCGCCACUCUGGGCCGGCACUGACGCUGAGGAGCGAAAGCGUGGGGAGCAAACAGG